CAACUAGUAAAAUAAAUGAAUUUGUGAGAGAUGCUAUGUUGUUAGUGAUCAUCAUGCACACAAAGACAUCUAAGAAGAAAUGUCACUCAAUUUGAUACACCUGGGAAAAGACAAUUAAACUAGAUUGGGGACAUUCCUGAGA